UCCUCUUCUCUCUCUCACUCUUUAUUUUUCUUUUUCUCUCUCUCUAAAGUGAAGGUGGGAAAAUUAAGGAGGAAAAAACAGGUGAUGCUGUUGACAGAAGAUAGAGAGCACAGAUGAUGAUAUGCAAAAAUUAGUUAAUUACAAAAGUUUUAGAGUCUGCAUCUCACUCCAUUUGUGCUCUCUAUGCUUCUGUCAUCACUCUUCACCCUCCUCAAAUCCCACCUUUCAUGAUCUCUCCUUUUGAAUUUCAUCAAAUUUACUCUCAAUUUUAUGUGUUGUUUUCCAGUUUAUUAUAAGUAUUUCAAAACUCAGCAUUAAAGAAUUGCAAAUUUGUCUCUCUGCAGAUCAUUGAUCUUUGUUAUGUAUGUACAUCCCUAAGAAAUGUGCUGAUUUCAGUUAGUGUUGUGUGUUGCAGUCCAAAUUGAGCAAAGUGGUGGGGAGAAUUGAGAUAAAGAUGCAAUUUUUGAUCAUGUCCUGUUUGGGAAAUGAAGGGCUGAAACAUCUUGUUUUGAGAUGCUUUGCGAUGAGGAAAUUUAGAGGGUAAAGUGAACAUUCUUCAGAGCGGAUGAGGCUUAUACUCCACUUGCUUUGAUUGAUUUGUGGGAGAAAGUGGUCAAUUUGUGCAUUAUUUUUGCAUAUAAAUAUUAAUUGUAUUGUGUCUUUGUGACAAAAAGGAAAGAAGAGGGGACAACUGAUCAGAGAAGGGUUACAAAAACCAAAGCCCAUCAUUUUGCAUCUCUUCUCAAGCUUCUUUCAUAAUUUGCACAAGUUCUUCUCUGCUAGGUCUGAGAUAAGAUUGAAGGGGAAGAACCAUAGUUUUAGAGAGAUUAAAAAGGUUGGAAUAAUGUGGCUGGUAGUUUUACAUUCUUUGAUGUAUGCAAGAGAAAUUUAAAAUUAUUUUCUUAUGCAUUAUUUAUAUCUAUAUGUUAUUAAGGGCAGCUACAUUGUGGUUGGUCAUAUUGUAUAAUUCUAUCAUAUAGUUUCAUUGUGCCAAAAUAAUUGCACAAAGUUUUGGACUUGGGUACAAGAAACAUAAUGAAUUGAACCCAAAAUUCAAUAAAUAGGUGUUGUGUGGAUUAAGAGAUA